UUGGGUUAAAAACUCUUGAAACUUAUUACAGAACACCCACCCCCUCCGACCGUAGUUACUUGCGCCCGAACAAAUAUCGCUCUAACUUGCAAAGCUGUGAACUGUGAUGGAGUUGGAAGGUUCUAGAAAGCCAUUGCGAGUGCUGGAGUUCUACAGUGGAAUUGGCGGCAUGCGAUAUUCUCUCCUCAAAGCUGACGUCAACGCCACCGUUGUUGAGGCUUUUGACAUAAAUGACCUCGCUAAUGACGUUUAUCAGCACAAUUUCGGUCACCGCCCUUUUCAGGGUAACAUUCAGACUCUGAGUGCCGCUAAUCUUGACGGCUACAAUGCUGAUGCUUGGUUACUUUCUCCUCCUUGUCAGCCAUAUACUCGACAAGGACUCCAGAAAGGUUCUAGUGAUGCGCGGGCAUCAUCAUUUCUUAAAAUUCUGGAACUCAUACCACAGCUAUUGCGGCCUCCAUCAUAUCUUUUUGUGGAAAAUGUAGUAGGAUUUGAGACUUCUGAUACCCAUGCGAUAUUGGUCGAAAUAUUGGAAAAGAAUAGUUUUGUUACACAAGAAUUUAUCUUGAGUCCACUGCAAUUUGGACUGCCAUAUUCUCGGCCUCGUUAUUAUUGCUUGGCCAAAAGGAAACCUUUAUCCUUUGAAGUACCUGAAUUCAACAGUCAGCUUCUUCGGACCCCUGGCCCUUUACUGGGACGGACUGAAAGAACAGUGGAAAAGGAACAGCUGCAGCAGCCAGAGUACUGGGAUGAGCUGCUUCAAGCUUGUCAACCUGUAGAUGAUUUCCUUGCAUUUAAAACUUUUGGUAAUGGGAACAUUGGGAAGGACUCAUCAACUUACUCUUUCCAUGCCAAUGAUUCUGCAAAAUCAGAUAGAAGUGAUGAGGAAAAUAAUGGAUACUUUGUUCCGUCAAGUCUAAUUGAAAGAUGGGGAAGUGCCAUGGAUCACAGAUAUUGUCUAUCCUCAUUCAAAGCGUUGCUGUUGUUUUACAAAAAGCUAUUACAGAUAUGUGAAAGGUACUGGCUCCCUGUUGGCAACUGUCCAGAAAUGGAGAAGGAAACUGAAUAGCUGAAUGCAAAUUUUUGGCAACUCUAAGAAACAUAAGAUAUCAGACAUGCAACCAUGCUUCUGCAUAACAUGGAGGAUAAAUUGAUUGCUGUUCUUCGCAGCCCAUUACAAUAAGUAGUUCCGCAUAAUUUUAUGAGAGUUUUCCUUAUCUUUUAUGCCUCUUUCUGUGUUUAAAUUAAUCCAAGACCCUCACUUGAUCUUUUUGUUUCUGUGAGACCCGUGUGCGUCUUGUUCAUGAUGAUCACAUUGGUUCGUUUUUACCACAAGUUGUGUUUGUUAUGGGGGUUAUCUCUCUUCCCUCCCCCUCAACAGCCAAAUGUUCUUAUAGAUGUUAGAUAUUACAGUAAUAGGAGCAGUUAUGGCACCUAAGGAAGUUCUAGCCGUCAAUGAAGGUCGAUUGAAGACUAUAAGAGACGAGAAUUACAUUAUGUUAAAUACAGCUAAUAAUACUUAUGUGAGGAUGGUCAUUGCUUGCCAAGUGGCAUUUGUGGGGCCCCUAAUAAUGCAUCAUUCAUCUAUCUCUCCCUCUCUCUACAGACCAGCCCAGCAACCCCCCUGCUCACCCUUUCUUUUUCUUUCAUUUUGUUCUUCUUUCUCUCCUGCUCGUAUCACCCCUAUCCCCCCAAUAUCCCCCUCCCAUUAAACCAUGUCACUAGUUUGUAUCUCAGCUGGCUCUUGGUCACUGUUAUCUAUUGGGUCUUCUGUUCUCCUCUAUUAAUUGGGUGGAAAUAAUUAGACGAAUGGAUUAUUAAUUGAAGACAUGAAAAUGGAAGAUGGAUUGACUAUUGUGCCCAAUGAAGCCCAACUAUGUACUCCUCUAGAAACAAAAACCUUACACAAUAACUUAAUUCCAACAAACAAAUGUCAAUUAGAAUGAUCUUUUACUCAGUUAAAAUUUAUUUUCUCUUGUCUAAUUUGUUCCAAAAAUUUGUACAGUCAUCCUUGGAAACAUAUAUGGGAUAAAAAUUCAAAUGUGGUUGACAAGAAACUUGAUAGCAUUUAAUUUGAGUUUACUUGAAUAACCAGGUCCAAGUGGGUAUAACCUCUUUGGACAAAGCAGAAUAAUGUGCCAGGGCCAUCGUGAAUGGUGCUGUGGGGAGAGAUAUGUUGUUGUGCCAGCUUGGUUCAGGGUGACCUACUUGUGGAAGGUUUUCUACCUAGAGGUUGUUUAGUGGAUUUUGAGGUUGUUGUGCCUUACCGGUUCCCUGAACUUCACCUAAAGAUGCUGAUGGAUGAAUGUGUAUGGUAGGGGAUGAUGUGAUACAUGCUUGGGAGUUCAAAGAAAUUGAAGAUGGAUUUCUUCAACCCCAUAUGAACACCAGGAACAAUUAUGGAAAGCAAUAAAAGGAUAGGAGGAUUAAGACAAUUGUUGGGGUAAAAGCACACCUAAGUAUUAAUUACCUAGACAUAUGUAAAUGCAACCAAAAAUCUUAAAUCUAGGAUAGGAAGAAGAAAAAAUUAUUCUAGAAUUGAAAUGCAAUCAAUUAACUAAAAGAAACAAUAAAGGGUAUCUAGGAACUAAUUAGAUUAAUAUUAAUAUUCAAAUAAGAGAUACAAAAGGGAGAAGGAACAUGAACUAGUAACUUGUAGUCUAUGUUACUCGGACUCUUCAAAAAUGGACACGGGUGCGUGUCGGAUCCUCCAAAAGUAGUGCAUUUUUGAAGGAUCCGACACGGGUGCGGCAUCAUUUUUGGAGAGUCCGAACAACAUAGCUUGUAGUAGUUUAAGAGUGGUUCAGUAUGGGACAAAUCCCCAACUCUCCAAGAGUAACCUAAACUCAUCAUCCAAAAUAAACCCCCUUCAAAAAGAAAGACCAGAUCGACAAUAUGCUUAUGUGGAUAUUUAAAGAGUGGAGAACAAGGUCCAAGACAAUUAGAAGCCCAAAAGGAGAAGGAAACCCCAUGUCUUUAGUUAAAAAAUAUUUUAAGUAUUUUUUCUUAGAAGGGGGUUUAUUUUGGAUGAUGAGUUGAGGUUACUCUUUGAGAGUUGGGGAUUUGCUCCAUACCUCCUCUUGGACCUCACUUAAAUUACUACAAGUUAGUAAUUCAUGUAUGAGCUCAUAUCCCUUCUCCCUUUGGAUUGUAUAAUCUUAUUUGAAUGCUAAUCUAAUGCUUGUUCUUCCUUCUCCUUUUGGGUUUCCAAUUGCUUCGGACCUUGUUCUCCACUCUUUAAAUAUCCACAUAUUGUGGAUCUUGAAGUUCUGAAAGAAGCCUCUAAUUUCGUGAUGGCCACCUCGUGUCCAUCAGGGGAUGUUAGGGAGAUGGGGCGAGAAGGGGAAAAAAGAAGAUGAAAAUGAAAGAAAGAGAAGCAGUGGGCGGGAGGGGGGGGGGGGGGGUUGCUGGGUAAUUGGGCUGGUGUGUGCAGAGACAAGGAGAGACAAAUAAUGCAUUUUUUGUGGGCCCCACAAUUUCCGCUUGUCAAACAAUGACGACCCUCUCAAUUAUUAAUAUAUAACACAAAGCAAAGUGUCUCAUGACCCGAGUUCAAAUUCAGCAGAGGUGAAAAAAAUAAUUUCUCCUGAGAUUAAGUCUUUGUGGAUGGAGUUAUCCUGUACAUUUACUAGUGGAAGGACGCGGGUACCCAGUGUAAUAGUCCUGAUAUGCACAAGUUGACCAGGAAAGCAUUGUUGUAACAAAAUUAUUGUGGUCAUUUAUCUACUUGAAAAACAAAUUAUUUUACUUGUAAUUUUUUUUUAUUUGAUAAUUGUAUAAUAUGUACUGCCCUGUUGGUUGGUUCUAGGUUUGCUUAUGAAAGUAAGAUUUCUUUGUGACUUACUUUUGUCUCUAAUACUAAAAUACUGAACUGUUCCUUCACUUGCUGAAGGUUGGUUUCUCUAGUUGCCAAGAUGAAGUCUUGUGAAUCUGAAAGUUUAGCUUUUCUUCUUUGAUUCCCUGAUUAAUCAAAACGUUCCUUCUGUUUUAUUUAGUUUGAUCUGGAUAUUUAUACUUCUGUUGGAUCACUCAUUUUGUUCUCUCCAGUAGUGGUAUUAAUAGUCAUUGUUUCGUCGCUUAAAGCGAUGCGAAACGAGGGGUUAUUGCUUCAUGGAGAAGCCAUGUGCUUUAGAGAAGUGUGCGCUUCAAACAAUGAUGUAAAAGUGAUCUCAGCAAGAAGCAAUCUCAAUUUUGAGGAUUUCAAUUAGUAGCGGCACUAUUGUAUAUCGGAGGCUGAAAUUAGUUAUUAUGAUUGCAGUUUGGCUAUUAUGGAAAAGACAGAGAAUAGAACACCUUC